AAGUCGAGCGGACAGAUCCAGAGCUUGCUCCCUGAUGUUAGCGGCGGACGGGUGAGCACACGUGGGUAACCUGCCUGUAAGACAGGGAUAACUCCGGGAAACCAGGGCUAAUACCGGAUGGUUGUUUGAACCGCAGGUUCAAACAUAAAAGGUGGCUUCAGCUACCACUUACAGAUGGACCCGCGGCGCAUGGCCCCGUUGGUGAGGUAACGGCUCACCAAGGCAACGAUGCGUAGCCCACCUGAGAGGGUGAUCGGCCACACUGGGACUGAGACACUGCCCACACUCCUACGGGAGGCACUCCUACGGAAUCUUCCGCAAUGGACGAAAGUCUGACGGACCAACGCCUGAUGAGUGAUGAAGGUUUUCGGAUCGUAAAGCUCUGUUGUUAGGGAAGAACAAUUGCCGUUCAAAUAGGGCGGCACCUUGACGGUACCUAACCAGAAAGCCACGGCUAACUACGUGCCAGCAGCCGCGGUAAUACCUAGGUGGCAAGCGUUGUCCGGAAUUAUUGGGCGUAAAGGGCUCGCACGCGGUUUCUUAAGUCUGAUGUGAAAGCCCCCGGCUCAACCGGGGAGGGUCAUUGGAAACUGGGGAACUUGAGUGCAGAAGAGGAGAGUGGAAUUCCACAUGUAGCGGUGAAAUGCGUAGAGAUGUGGAGGAACACCAUUGGCGAAGCGACUCUCUGGUCUGUAACUGACGCUAGACGAAAGCUGAGGAGCGAACACGAUUAUAUACCCUGGUAUUCCACGCCUAACGAUGAGUGCUAGUGUAAGGGGGUUUCCGCCCCUGAGUGCUGCAGCUCACGCAUUAGCACUCCCCUGGGGACUACGCUCCCGAGGCUGAAACUCAAAGAAUUGACGGGGCGCACACA
rnacentral:rRNA from 1 species